rnacentral:lncRNA from 1 species
AGGUUUCUGAUGCUCCUUGCCUCACCCUGUGAGCUGGCAUAGAACAUCUCUAAGGGGGGAAGGAGAUGCCCUCAUUGAAAUGAGGGAGAAGGUGGAUGAGGGGCUCCUUCCUUUUGUCCUCAGAUGACCCAAGCCAAGUGCAGAAGGCGAGCCUCCUCCCAAAGCUCGGCUAGUCCCUCCACCAAAGCCAGGAUCAGAGCCCACACCUGCCUGGCCAACCCCUGGCACUGAUGAUGCCUGGGUGCGGGUUAAGCUGGGAGGAGCUCCUGCCUGCCUGGAUGAAGAGGAGGUCAAGACUUUGUCCCCCACUCCGCAAGAUACCCUCUCUGUUCCGGAGCGGUGGGUCCCUCCCCUGUUAGGACCUUGUCUCCCUCAGGACUGGACCUGGAUCCUGGGCCUGCAGUCAGAUUGCCAGUUUCACUUAGAGGUGGAAAUGUCAACCCACUGGUUGGAAUGGGAAGGUAGGGUGUGGGGUCGGGGAGUACCUUCAUUUCUAUCUGCCCAGGAGGCCAGCCGCUUCCUGCAUAGCAUUUCCUUCCUGCAGUAUGGGAAGGACCAGGCUUUCUCAGACCACAGAAUCUUGAGAGCCAUUUCCACGUGGAGCAAGUGGUGGCUACCAGCCUUGGGUCUACAUAACUAGGGCCUCAUCCCUGGCCCAAGAAUCCUGCUCCACAGCCUUCUUGUGUCCCUGUAGGAGGAGAAACACCUGGCAACUUAAAUUUUUUAAAAUAACUUUUUUUUUUUUUUGAGACGGAGUCUCGCUCUGUCUCCCAGGCUGGAGUGCAGUGGUGCGAUCUCGGCUCACUGCAAGCUCCGCCUCCCAGGUUCAUGCCAUUCUCCUGCCUCAGCCUCCCAAGUAGCUGGGACUACAGGCACCUGCCAUCACGCACGGCUAAUUUUUUUGUAUUUUUUUAGGUGAGACAGGAUUUCACCAUGUUAGCCAGGAUGGUCUUGAUCUCCUGACCUCAUGAUCUGCCCACCUCGGCCUCCCAAAGUGCUGGGCUUACAGGCGUGAGCCACCGUGCCCGGCCAAAAAUAACUUUUAAAAACAUGAGUAUAGCAUACACACACACAAAAGUCCACAAAUCCUAGGUGUACCACUUGAUGAAUGAUCCCAACGUGAGCACACCUCUGGAUUACCACCUGGAUCAAGAAAUAGGACAUCACAGCAGCUGGCAGCUUCCAAGGAGAAGCUCUGGAAAGUUCUGCCUGUCUCAGCACCUGGCUGGAUCGGAAACGAGUUUUCUUUAACCAGAUUUUUAAUGACUGACUUAUGUGGACAAAUCAUAACUGAAUGAAUCACCUCCUUUGUUGAUUUUUUUGGGUACUUUAUUUGCUAUUAUAAAUGAUGCUGUAAUAAGCACCCUUGAAGAAAUCUUCAUAUCUGCCUCUCCUGUGUAGCAGGUCACAGUGCCUGGGUUUGGUUCUAGCCCUCAUUUGUGAACUGUGUGACUCACCAUGCCUUUUUUCUUUCUGUAAGACAGGAAUAAUGGUAAGAAUUUAAAUGGGGGUAAUAUGGAGCGCGUUUAGUUCAGAGCCUGGUGCAUACAAGCACUCAAUAAGUACUGGCGAUUAUUAGACCUUUAGAUUAAUUUAUUAGAAGUUGGAUUUCUGGUGAAAGGGUUUGAGUGUUUUUGAGGCUUUGGCACAGAAUACCCAGCUGGUCCCAGAAAGGUGGUUCCCAUUUACCUGCCCGAAGGUAAUUCACCCUUACUGAUACUGAGUACUGUUUUCUAAAAGAACAUUAAAAAUUGGAUAGGUUAAAAACAGGUGAAUACAUUUUUUUAGUUGCAUUUUUUUGGUUACCCGUGAGAGUGAACAUGUUGCCAUGUGUUUGCUGACCUCCUAAAUGGUCUAUUUGCUCCUACCUUUGUACCCCAAAAGUCUGCUCUCAAGAUGGUAGCCAGAAUGAUCCUUUUUGAGACAUAAGUCAAAAUUUCACUCUUCUCCUUAAAGCUCUGCAAUGGUUCUCAGGUUAAAAGCCAAAGUCCUGUUCAAGGCCUCCAGGGUCCUCACCACUUGGUCCCUUGCUCUUUCUGUUCUAGCCAACUUGGCCUUCUCCUGCCCCUCCGCCGCACCAUGGCAAUUUCCCCUGCUCUGUGUGGUCAACUACCUGAAUCUGUUCAAAGCUUUGCUCAAAUGUCUCCUUCCUGAUGAGACCUCCCCAGCCCCUGAGCUCCCCAUGCCUCACUCCUGAUCGCCUUACUUAACCCUUCUUUUUCUUUUUUGCCAGUAGUACUUAUCACCGUCUAAAAUACUUCAUAAUUUACUUGUUUAUUGUUUGCCCCUCUCCAAUAGAAUGUAAGCUCCUUGGGGCAGGGACCUUUGUCCUUUGUCUUGUUCACUGCUGUGUCCCAUGUGUAAACUUGUCUGGCACAGAAGAGGUGCUCGAUAAAUAUUUGUUGAGUGAAUGAAUGGUAAAUUUUCUGUUCAUAUUCUUUGACUAUUUUCUAUUGUAAUGUUCAUCUUUUUAGUAUUGGUUUAUAAGAUGUAUAUUUAGCACCUUUUCAUAUAUCACUCUUUGUCACAUAUUAUGCAACUAAUUUGUCAUUUCCAUCAAUUUUUAAAAUACUUUCUUGAUGCUUCAUUUUUAAGCUGUCAGAUUAUUAAUCUUUUCUUUAUGGUCUUGGACUUUAUUGUUGCAUAACCGCUGCCUUCACCAGGAACAUAUAAAUUUUCAAUUAAAUGUUCUUCUGAGAUUUUAUGAUUUCACUUUUUAUAUUAAACUCUUCAUUUUGUCUUCAUGUGUGGUGAGAGGUAAGAACAUAACUUUAAAGCAAAUUAACCAACUAUCCCCAAAUGAAUUAUAAAUAAAUUAAUCAUUUUCCAAUGAUCUGAAAGGCCAUUUUAUCAUACACUAAAUAUUUUUGUGUGUUUGACUGGGUUUACCGUUCUGUUCCGUUGGCCUAUCACAUCGUUCUUACAUUGGUAUUUGUUGCCCUAUUUUAAUGAUUGUAACUUUUUAAUAAGGGUUAAUGACUGAGAAUACAAGUCCCAUUGUUUUGUUUUAUUAUUUUUAUUAUUUUUUUGAGACAGGGUUUCACUCUGUCACCCAGGCUGGAGUAUAGUAGCACUAUCUCGGCUCAUUGCAACCUCUGCCUCCCUGGUUCAAGUGAUUCUCCCACCUCAACCUCCCGAGUAGCUGGGACUACAGAUGCAUGCCACCACACCCAGCUAAUUCUUGUAUUUUUAGUAGAGACAGGGUUUCACCAUGUUGACCAGGCUGGUCUUGAACUCCUGGCUUCAAGUGAUUCACCUGCCUCGACCUCCCAAAGUGCUGGGAUUACAGGCGUGACUCACCACGCCUGGCCCAUUUUUUUCUUUUGAGGUGUUCUUUGUGGCAAUUCAUAUAUUCUUUAAGAUAAAUUCUAAACUUUUUUUUUCUGCCGAGAUAAACUAGCAGACAAAUCCCACUGGACAUUGCAAUUGGAUUAGUUUUGUAGAUUAAUUUAGUGAUAAUCAACUUCUUUGCACCAUUGAGUGCUUCUGUCCGGGAACGUGGCAUAUCUUUCUAUUAUUAAGGUCUUUUUUAUUAUAGGUCUUUAGGGAAGCUUUAUUUUAUAGAUGAAUGUAGUGUGUUUGGUGCUUAUUUUCAUAAAAUAAAGCAAUGACAUCUGUGGCAGGCAGCUUCUGAAAUGGCUCCCAAUGAUCCUUACCUUCUGAUAGUCACCCCCUUGGAGAAUCCCUUUCCUUUGUGUGUGGGCUGGAUCUAGUGACUUGCUUCUCAUAAAUAGAAUAUGGCAAAAAAUGAUGGGUUGUUACUUCUGAGAUUAGGUUAUAAGAGGCGAAUUUCUGUUUUGCUGUAAUUUUGUCUCUCUAACCCUCUUGCUUUCCUGUGCUCAUGAAACCAGCUGCUGUGUUGUGAGCCACCUUAUGGAAAACCCAUGUGGCAGAGAACCGAGGGUGGUGGCUGGCCAACAGCAAGCCAGGAGCUGAGGCCCACAGUCCAACAACUGGUGAGGAACCACAUGCUGCCAGCAGCCAUGUGAGGGAACUUAGAAGCAAAUCCUUCCCCAGUUGAGCCUUCAGAUGACACCAGAGCCUUGGCUGACCCCUUACUUUUACCCUUGUAAGAGACUUUGAGCCAGAAGACUUGGCUAAACCACACCUGGAUUCCUGACCCACAGAAACUUGAAAUAAUAAAUGUGUUGUUUUAAGU